ACUAAGUAAACUCAAGGAUUGUGACUAACAAAAUCAAAUCGUCUUAAGUUAAUUACAAGAAUAGCCUAGGAAGAAAUUAAGUAAACUCAAAAUCAGUGAAAAUUUUGAAAGAGCCAACUGCUGCACAGAAAAUGUUGGGCAUAAGUGAAGUCACGGAAGCCAAAGUUACAAGCGUUUUUGCUAAGUGGCUUCAACAAGCCAAAACCAGAUGUGAAAGAAGAGGGAAAAAAACCUGCCACUGUGGACAGUGGGGAAGAAGUUCCACUCAAUGGGGAUGAAGAUCUUGUUGAAUAGAUAACUUACUCUGUAUUAUUUAAGUAAUCGUAAAAAGAGGAAUUUUUGAGGGAACUGUUUGUUGAAAGUUAAAGAUACGAUCGAGGCAUUUUCAAAUGUGAAUGUGUUAUGUAAAUCUUCAAUAUAAAUCUAUUUAGACAAAUU